AUGCAGGCAUUCUGGCUUCCAAGCCCUGCCUUAACCAAUGCUGUGGACACCGUGGUAGGACUUUCCCCUCAGACUCCUUUUCUGACCUUGGGGCGUCUCCACUGCCCUGGCAACCUUGGGGCAGCAGGAACCUGGCUGGCCCACCAGGCAGGCUGGUCUUCCUGGCCACUCCUGACAAGCAUGGCAGAAGUGUGGGCCAGCCCUUCUGAGAAGCAGACAGUUUCCCCUGCAACCUUUUCAUUCGUAUCUAGAUUUCCACGCAGAGAAAUGUUUAGAAAAACAACAAAAAAAGUAGUGGGUCUGGGCAAAUGGAGUCUGGACAAAGCACAGAUGCGGCAGAAGAUUGUCCCAACUCAUGCAUCUAAUAAAGACUUGCUCCCAAGACCUUGCUGGUGAAUUGUCUGCAUUCCAGUAACUUUUUCUCCUGGGUUUUCCUUAAUAAGGACAGAUUUCUUCACUUCCUGGGACUCCCUCAAGAUUAUACUGACAACUUCCCCAUUAAUUAUCGAAUUAUGCCCCGUCACAAAAUGAUUACAUUUGCUUCCUACCUAAACACCUCCUCUCAUUGAUGAAAAGUCUCGUUUAAACUAAUAUCCUUUAACUUGCUUCAUUUCAACACCUCCGUAGAGGCUACUAACAAGCUGACUCCUUGCCCAGCUGGUCCCUCCGCCCUUCCUUCUGUUCUCUGUUCCAAGACCAAUUUAGAUCUGGCGGAACAGGAAAGGGGAGGACUCACCCUCUGAAUCGGAAGCUUGGCUGGAACCUUCUUGAGGGAUGAGGACACUUAGCACACGACCUUGAGUCUGAACCCCCCUCAAGAGGGAGACUCCACCCGCUGCUUCCAGAAGCAGGAAAUUUGCCUGAGAGUGCAGCCACUGGGGUAAAACGGCCUCCCAGCUUAAUGAGUCAGGUAAUUAUACCCAGGUUCCCUUUACAGGGGCCUCUUAAUUAUUAUUUAAUAAAGAGAUGAUUCCAGGCUGUGACCUGUGAGGCUGGUGGCUUGAUAACCAUCUUGCUGGAGGAGUGCCUCCCCUCAGACGUUGUCCUUUUCUGGCAGGGAGAUGGGGUGCUUUCAAAGGACCCCUCAGGCCUGCUUUUGAGAAUAUCACGUGCCAAGAAACUCCUCUUCCUGGCACUGUCUUCUCUGGGGUGGUCAGAUGGGCCCCUUCCCUGGAGUGCUCUGAAUCAGGUCAGUCUGUUCCUCUGAGUAACCCUGAUCUCAUUUUGUUGGCAGCAGGCAGCAGCCUGAGGCCCUGCUGCCCGCUCACGCCAGAGCCACCGGAAGCAGGAAGAGCUCCCUGAGCUCGGGGUGUGAGCCAGGCUUCGUCCCAAGUGCUUCUGAGGCCUGCUCAUACAUCUCUCCCCAUUUUACAGAUCAGGAAACUGAGGCUCACUGGGGUUAUGCACACUGUGCAAGGCCAUACAACAUAUGGAACUGGGAGAGCAAGGAUUUGAACCCACAUCUCUAUGGCUCCAGAGCAGAAAGGCUUAAUUCCUGUACCAUACCACUUGGUGUUAGCUGGCCAGAGAGAAAAUUAUCUGGAUCAUGUUUUUCAAGGCCAGAACUUUGGAGGAGUAUCUAAGGACAUCCAUUGUCAUCACUAUUGAUGGUGCAUCAUGCUCUUGGUCCCUGACCAGGGACCUAUACUGCAAUCAUGGUUUCCCUGCCCCAUCUCAGUAUAUGAGACCAGGGACGAUGGGCUUCUCAUUCUGGCCAGACCCCCAGGAUGUCUUCCCUGGAAGUUUACAAAACUGGAAUUGAAGAAAAGAGAUGCUUUAUCCACCCCGGUGGCAUCAGCAACUAGGUAGAUGUGAGCUCCAAGUGCCCAGGGGUCAUGGUCCAGGCUUGUGUAAAAACGCAAAGACAAUGCUGACAACACAUAAAGAGAAAAGUUUCCAGUUAUAUUCAAGCCCCUGAUUCAAAUUCUUGGGACACAACCUGUGUAUUUCCUGCAAUUCAGCUCUGUAAAUCAUUAAAGUUCCACUGAAGUUUCUAUCACUUGUAAUAAAACUGUUCUAACACACCAUGCUCUGGAAUUUGGUCUACUGUGGACAACAGGGAGCUUCUUAAGUGUUUUGACGUGUGCGGCAGAGUGGCAGCUGUGGCCUGGUAGAGAGGCAGGCGUGGGAGGGCCACGCAGUGAACAGGAAGACCACAUGGAGCUUCUUGCAAUGCAGGCAGCAAUUGAGAGAUGACUAGAGGCAGAAUCAAAGUGACUGGGGAUGGGGUCAAUAGACACUUAGCUGGGAGAAGUUUUUAGAUUUGAUGAUUGAUUAAAAUUGGGGAGAUGAUGCUGGAGAUGCCCAAGAUGAUUCUGAAAUGGAUGGUGAUGCCACUAGCUGAAAGGGAAACGCAGGAGGCAGAGUGAGCCUGGGGGAGGUGAGUGGUGACAUCAGAGGUAACAGGCUUGGCCGUGGAGAGCUGACUGGUGUCCAGCUGCCUGUGGCUCUGUUACGCUGCGUGAUAUGUUCUGGCCCUGAGACAAAGGUGUGCUCUGGCAAUCACCUGCUGGUCACAGCCUCAGUCCUGACUCACCCGUCCUGACCCGUGCAACACCCCCCUGUCCAUCCGUCUCUCAGUUCCCAGUCAUCAGUGGUUCUAUUUUUGUCUUCACAUCACCCUGCCGACUUGUCAGAACUGGUAUUGUCUUCCAUAGAUCCUGGGCUUUUUUCCAUGGGAUUCUGUUCUUCCUGCUGCUCUAUUGAAUUGAGCCACCUUGGAUAACUCCCUGCCUAGAGUGGAGGGGAGAGAUAGCUAGCACUGUUAAAAACAAACAAAGGAAUCAUGCUGUAGGAAACUGACUCUAGCCAAUUUGACUGCUUAUAAUUAUUUGGGGUGUGUGUGUGUGUGUGUGUGUGUGUGUGUGUGUGUGUGUGUGUGUAGGGUAUGUAUAGCUUACCAUAGUUAAAGGGAGCUGAGGAUUAUAUUGAUAGAUUUCCUCUACGAGGACUUCCCAGCUAAGGGGUUGAUUGCAUUGGGUAGGUUGCACUGAAAGCAAGACUCAGACCAAAUUCUUCUAUACAAAUAUGUGCCAUUCAUAAAACAGGCACGACAAACAUGCACAAUCUUUUUUCCUAAAUUCAAUGAAAUCUUUGCUGUCUGUCUGACACACACCUUGUACAAUGAGACAACAUUCUAGUGACAGAAUUCAUCUGGGCUUCUAGUCAGAAUCAGGCAACAGCCUUAUUUGUUAAGUGUGGCUCACAGAUUAGGUGGAGUCUUAGGCUUGGCGAGCCAGUAUGAAGGUUGUAAGCCCUUGAAUUUGCAAGAUUCUUCACCCUGCUCAUGUAAGCAUAGGGUGCCCAUAUUAUAUUUCUAAAUAGUCACCAUAUCUUUUUCAACAUUCAUGUAAUGAAUGAAAAUUAUUUCUAAUUGAACAAACUCUCUACUGAGAUUGGAAGAUAAAGAUUGCUGAGAUCUACCCAGAAAUAAACCCAUGUAUAGACGGCCUUCUAGUAUUUAACAAGGAAGCUAAGAAGAGUCAAUGGAGAAAGGAG
ensembl:lincRNA